UACGUAGGGUGCAAGCGUUGUCCGGAAUUAUUGGGCGUAAAGAGCUCGUAGGCGGUUUGUCGCGUCUGCUGUGAAAAUCCAGGGCUUAACCCUGGACCUGCAGUGGGUACGGGCAGACUAGAGUGCGGUAGGGGAGAUCGGAAUUCCUGGUGUAGCGGUGAAAUGCGCAGAUAUCAGGAGGAACACCAGCGGCGAAGGCGGCGCUCUGGGCCGGAACUGACGCUGAGGAGCGAAAGCGUGGGUAGCAAACAGG
rnacentral:rRNA from 1 species